GCAUGCGAGUCAUUGUAGCAAUACAAGGCAGACGGCUCAGUAACGCGUAGUCAAUCUACCCUAUGGACGGGAAUAACCUCGGGAAACUGAGAAUAAUGCCCGACAGAACAUUAUACCUGGAACGGUUUAUGUUUCAAAUGAUUUAUCGCCGUAGGAUGGGACUAGCGGCCUAUCAGUUUGUUGGUGAGGUAAUAGGCCCACCAAGACUAUUACAGGUACGGGCUCUGAGAGGAGUAGCCCGGAGAUGGGUACUGAGACACGGACCCAGGCCCUAUGGGGCGCAGCAGGCGAGAAAACUUUGCAAUGUGCGAAAGCACGACAAGGUUAAUCCGAGUGGUUUCUGCUAAAGAAACCUUUUGCUAGUCCUAGAAACACUAGUGAAUAAGGGGUGGGCAAGUUCUGGUGUCAGCCGCCGCGGUAAAACCAGCACCUCAAGUGGUCAGGAUGAUUAUUGGGCCUAAAGCAUCCGUAGCUCGUUUUGUAAGUUUUCGGUUAAAUCCAUACGCUUAACGUAUGGGCUGCCGGGAAUACUGCAUAACUAGGAAGUGGGAGAGGUAGACGGUACUCGGUAGGAAGGGGUAAAAUCCUUUGAUCUAUUGAUGACCACCUGUGGCGAAGGCGGUCUACCAGAACACGUUCGACGGUGAGGGAUGAAAGCUGGGGGAGCAAACCGGAUUAGAUACCCGGGUAGUCCCAGCUGUAAACUAUGCAAACUCAGUGAUGCAUUGGCUUGUGGCCAAUGCAGUGCUGCAGGGAAGCCGUUAAGUUUGCCGCCUGGGAAGUACGUACGCAAGUAUGAAACUUAA
rnacentral:rRNA from 1 species